CCUACGGGUGGCUGCAGUGGGGAAUAUUGGACAAUGGGCGCAAGCCUGAUCCAGCAAUACCGCGUGUGUGAAGAAGGCCUGAGGGUUGUAAAGCACUUUUAAUCGGGAGGAAAACCUGUCGGCGAAUACCCGGCGGCUUGACAUUACCGAUAGAAAAAGCACCGGCUAACUCCGUGCCAGCAGCCGCGGUAAUACGGAGGGUGCAAGCGUUAAUGGGAAUUGCUGGGCGUAAAGCGUUCGAGUCAGACGUGAAAGCCCCGGGCUUAACCUGGGAACUGCAUUUGAUACUGGAGGGCUAGAGUUUAAUAGAGGGGAGUGGAAAUUCCGGUGUAGCGGUGAAAUGCGUAGAGAUCGGAAGGAACACCAGUGGCGAAGGCGACUCCCUGGAUUAAAACUGACGCUGAGGUACGAAAGCGUGGGUAGCAAACAGGAUUAGAUACCCGGGUAGUC
rnacentral:rRNA from 1 species